rnacentral:tmRNA from 1 species
GGGGAUGUCAUGAUCUCGACAUGAUUAAUGAUUUUCCAAAUGCAGUAGGGUCAGCCCUUUAUAGCUCGAGGUAUUGCUAAGUGCAGAUACACAAACCGGCAAAGUUAACAAGGAGGAAGCAGAUCUUGUUAACUUAUUGUCAGCUCAAGCAAAUCUUAACUACAGUUUCGUAGCCUAAGAACUUGAGAACAAUAUUAAAUGUUUUCUAGUUACAUUUAAUAUUUCUCAUAACUAGAUAUAUUACUUUAAUUGUGGUAGAAGUGAUUAAUAACCCCACAUAGUUAUUCACAGGUUGGCAUAUAACCUCAAAAUGAAUGAUGAAAUGCUAAUAUAUGCCUAAACUGUAGAAUUUGGUUAUGAUUUAAUUGUGGAAAUGGGUUUAAUUCCCAUCAUCUCCACCA